GUUAAAACCAUGACAUGCUGUGCAGCUAACCAAUCUCUUACACUGAGGGGUGUGGGGUCGGGGUGAGGGAACAGCAACAAAAUAUAAAUUGAAAACAAAAUGAAUUUGUUUCCUGAAACAAAGCCAAAAUCUGAAUAAUCCUUAGGUAAUAACCAUUUAUGCAGCUGACAGUUUUCCAAGUUUUUCUUUCUACCCUUUUAAAGUAACAUGGGAAUCUGGUCCAAUUUUAAAGCCAGAGAUUACUCAGAACUAUUUUUAGGUCAUUUCAUCCCAUUUUUAGUUGACUUGUGUAACCUAGGCGGUAUUUUCAUUUCAAAGCUGCAGCGGAAGACAUGCCUGAGUUCUCUGCGCACCAGUGCCAGGAUGCAAGCCGCCGCCCUCCCAGGAAACUGGCCAGUGAUAUUCCAUCUCCCUUCCUGCUGCUGGCUUCUUGACGGAAGAAGAUACAGACACAGAGGAGAAGGUCACGUGAAGACAAAGGCAGAGACUGGAAUGAUAACUCUACAAGCCACAGAACGCCAGGAACUGCCAGAGGCUGGAAGAUGCAGAGAUCCUCCCCCAGAACCUCCAGAGGAAGCGUGGCCCUGCCGACACCCUGAUGAUGGACUUCUGGCCUCCAGAACUCUGUUCCAGUGGGGCUGACGUGGAUCUCCCUGUGGGUACCACUCAUCUUUGAAGCAGUCAGUAUCAUCAUGUCCUGCUGCAGCGGAGAAAGGAAGGAAGGUCUGUGCUGCUGGAGGGUGCAAGGGCUCCCUCCAAGCUCCGAAAGCUCGUGCCCAGUCUCCUGACUCAAUUACUUCCCCACCAAAGCAAUACCGUCUCUGCUUGUAUGAAGGAAUAAAGAUGUACAUUUGUACAGUACAUUUGUACAGACGUACAUUUAAGUACAUUAGGUACUUAAAAUGAUUUGAAAUAUUGGUUGUGCUCUUCCUAUGAAGUAAAGAACAAACUUUUUCUCCAUGGUGCCUUCUGUGUAAUACUUAAGCUGAGAAUGGACAGUUUGCCUGGUAUUGUCCUGGAGCUUCACAUAGCUCAUUUAAGCUAUACAACAACUGUAAAUUAGGUAUUCUUUUUCUAAUCUACUACAGUCAAGAUAACUGAAGCUCAGUGAAGUUAGAUACUCCUGCACUCUGCCUAGGGAGUGAAGUCAGUCUGUCACAGCUGAGCAGCCCAACUCCAAGGAAUGAAUGAGCCACUGACACCUACUGCUAAUUCCAGGGGCCAGAUGCAACUCUGCUGUUCAAGAGAUGGAAACAGGGACAUCCAGGAGUGAAAAUGCAAGAUGCACAGAGAGGGGUAAUUCUCCAAUCCUUUCUCAGCGUCCAAAAAGCUCAUCUUGUUUGGGAUUUCCUUCAAAAAACUAUAGAAUGGAGGUUGGAAAGGGAGUGAGACUGUAAAUGAAAUAAGAUUAGCCAGAAUCUGGUAAUUGUUGAUGGUAACUGAUAAAUACCUGAGCAUCUAAAAAGUAAAUUACAGUCUCAAACUAUCUCCCUCAAAAUAUUUACUAAUUACAAAAAGGGAAAUAGUAAGUUUACAGUGGAGAAUCCUGGCACACACUACCCUAGCCUAGGAUUAACAUCAUGUACCCCCCACCCCGAGUCAAGGUUAAUAUCAUGUACCCCCGAGAUGGUGCAACAAGAAGAGCCUAUCACCUCUGUGGUAUUCAUCCCCAAAACGCACAAGCUCAAUGUAAUCAUGAGAAAACAUCAGACAGACCCAAAGUAAGGGACAUUCUACAAAAUACCUGACCAGUACUCUUCAAAAGUGUCAAGGUCAUAAAAGACAAGGAUAGACAGAGGAAUUGUCACAGCCUGGAAGGAAACAUGACAAAUAAUUGCAAGGUGAUAUCCUGGACUGGAACUCAAACAGAAAAAUGACAUCUGUGAAAAGACUAGUAAAACCAAAUAAGUUCUGCAAAUUUGGUUAAUAGUGGUGCAGGAAAGAGUUAACACAGUGGCCCUUGUGCUUAUCCUUAGAAAGACCUGCUGCAAGGUGUUCCUUGACUGGCUUCUGGGAACUGGGUACUAGGAAUA